GGGAUUACAGGCGUGAGCCACCGCCCCUCGCCAGAAAUCUUUCUAAAACACAAAUACCUGUUUAACAUAUUUCUGCCUUGCUCCCAUCAUCCACUCUAAACUCUUCAGUGCAGUAUACAAGAUUCUUCACUCCACACCUCCUGUUCCAGUCCCACGUGAAUUCCCCAAGACUGAUCAUGCAGGACACCACUGCCUCCCUCCUGAUCACGCAGGACACCGCUGCCUCCCUCCUGAUCACGCAAGACACCGCUGCCUCCCUCCUGAUCACGCAGGACACCACUGCCUCCCUCCUGAUCACGCAGGUGUCGACACUGCUGCCUCCCUCCUGCGCAUCCUUUCAAGGGUGUCACUCGGUUCAGAAGAAGGGAGUUAUGCAGAGAGCUAUCCCACACAGCCUCAAAGCGGUAGAAGGUCCUAAGGUCAGAAAGACAAGAGGGAAUCAUCCAAAAGAAGCUAAAGUCACGUUAGUCCAGGUACUGCCACUGUCAAUCAUCCUAAAGAACCAUACGCC
rnacentral:lncRNA from 1 species